GCGAGUGCGGCUGGCUCCCAGGAAACUCUGUUUACAAAAGCAGUCAGCCCCGACUGAGACCAUUGUUUGCCAACACCCAGAAUGGCAGGUGUUGUAAGAGAGUGAGGCUGUCUCCAGGCAGAGGAAGUGUGAUCAUCGACCCACCCUGUGUAUAAAUGUACUGUAAGUCGAGCAGCAGGUUCUGGGUCAGCCAGUGUCUGCAGAGUGAACUGUGCCUGCUCCAGGGUGCACACAUCCACCUGGGUAGGUUCAGCAUUCACUGGCUACUCUUCUGGAAGACCUGGUUUGGUUCCCAGCACUUCCACGGAAGCUCAGAAGUGUUCGCAAGUCCUUUCCCAGAGGAUCCAAUGGUGUCGACAGAAAAUGAACAAAAUCUCAAGGAUUUCCCUUGUUCUGUUCUGUUUGGGUUUGUAACGAGGUCUUAGUAGGUAGCACAAGUGGGGCUUGAAUUUAGGAUUCUUGCUUCUGCUUCCCCAGUUUUAAGUUCACGAUUGGUGGCCACAUUGUAUCAUCAUACCUACAGAGGACUACCUUUCAUGUCUCAUCAGAUUUUCUCAGCAGAAAAACUUCAUUAUUCCUUUUAAGGAUGACAAACUGCACCCAAAGCCUCAUCGUACAGACAUAAGCCAGAGGUUGUAGACAGUAAGGCACAGCACACAGUAGGGAAAUGCUGUGCUUAAGAAGCUCAGACUGGUGUGGCUGUGACACGGAGCUCCUCGGUGGCCUGGAUGAGGUGGAGGUGAAGG